GGCUACAAGUAGCCUCUCACCUUCUGAUGUUACGCGGUUGACUGCACAUGUUGUAGCAGAAAUAGCCGAGUGAACGUGUUUCGUUUCAUGUAAAGGUGGUCUGCAGAAGAACAAUUGCAUGCUGUAUCAACGAUAAGGAAGCUUAGACGGUGAUCUACGGCGACUACGGACACGGCGGACAGGCCCCCCGCGCCCUCGUCCAGCAGGCCGAAGAAGCGCAGGCAGAAGACCACGGGCACCGGGAGGAUCGCCACCACGAUCAGCGUGAUGCACACGGCCACGCCCCAGCCGGGGUACCUCACGGACCUCUCUUGGGCCUGUGGAGAUGCAAGCCGUUACGCGGCGGGGUUAGCGCUUGGCCCCAGGCACUGCUACCAUGUUAAUCUUACACAAUAUAGCUAUGGAAUGUACUGCAUGUUAUUUCAAUAAACUAUCAAAAAGACUUGGAGCAAAAUGCCAGAUAUCAUUGAGAUAAUAUAUUUGUUCAAAUCUAUAUAGCGGUGAAAUGUAAGCUAUUUGGAAUUGCAGCCUCUCCCUUUUUUUGAGUUUAUGUUUGCUUAAAUAUAUAACAUAA